rnacentral:rRNA from 1 species
GCAAGGGCAGACGGUGGAUGCCUUGGCUCUCGGAGGCGACGAAGGACGUGAUAAGCUGCGAAAAGCCCGGGGGAGGCGCAAAUAGCCCUUGAUCCCGGGAUAUCCGAAUGGGGCAACCCGGCAGGCUGAAGGCCUGCCAUCCCGUAAGGGAGGCGAACGUGGGGAACUGAAACAUCUAAGUACCCAUAGGAGGAGAAAAUAAACAAUGAUUCCGUAAGUAGUGGCGAGCGAACACGGAAGAGCCCAAACCCAUGUCGUCUAGGCGACACGGGGGUUGUAGGACCACGACGUGGCAAGAUAGAGUCAAGUGGAACGCCUUGGAAAAGGCGGUCAUAGAGGGUGAAAACCCCGUACACGACUGACGAUUGAAGCCUAGUGGCAUCCUGAGUAGCGCGGGGCACGAGAAAUCUUGCGUGAAACAGCGGGGCCCAUCCCGUAAGGCUAAAUACUCCCGAGAGACCGAUAGCGAACCAGUACCGUGAGGGAAAGGUGAAAAGAACCCCGAGCAGGGGAGUGAAAUAGACCCUGAACCCGUCUGCCUACAAGCGGUCGGAGCAUAGCAAUAUGUGACGGCGUGCCUUUUGCAUAAUGAACCUACGAGUUACCUUCCCCGGCAAGGUUAAGUACCUAAGGUACGGAGCCGAAGCGAAAGCGAGUCUGAAGAGGGCGGCCAGUCGGGGGGGGUAGACGCGAAACCGAGUGAUCUACCCUUGGCCAGGUUGAAGGUUGGGUAACACCAACUGGAGGACCGGAUGGGUAAGCGUUGAAAAGCUUUCCAAUGAGCUGAGGGUAGGGGUGAAAGGCUAAUCAAACUCGGAGAUAGCUCGUACUCCCCGAAAUGCAUUUAGGUGCAGCCUCUUUAUAGUAUAUCGUGAGGUAGAGCGACUGAUUGGAUGCGAGGGCUUCACCGCCUAUCAAGUCCAGAUAAACUCCGAAUGCGCGAUAUAUAUUUACAGGGAGUGAGGGCGCGGGUGCUAAGGUCCGUGUCCGAGAGGAGAAGAAUCCAGACCACCGGCUAAGGCCCCCAAAUGAUCGUUGAGUUGAACUAACGAGGUCGGAUCGCAGAGACAGCUAGGAUGUUGGCUUGGAAGCAGCCAUUCAUUUAAAGAGUGCGUAACAGCUCACUAGUCGAGCGAUCUGGCGUGGAUAAUAAUCGGGCAUAAACGAUCUGCCGAAGCCGUGGAUGUCGUAAGACAUGGUAGGGGAGCAUUCCAUGCGGCGUCGAAGAUGAGGGAUGACCCUUGUUGGAGCGCAUGGAAAAGCAAAUGUAGGUAUGAGUAACGAUAAGGGGGGCGAGAAACCCCCCCGCCGAAAGACCAAGGUUUCCUGAUCAACGCUAAUCGGAUCAGGGUGAGUCGGGACCUAAGGCAAAGCCGAACGGCGCCGCCGAUGGAAGAAUGGGUUAAUAUUCCCAUACUGCCUCAUGGAGUGACGUGGAGACGGAGAAGUGACAGUCCUGCCGGCUGACGGAAUAGCCGGUUGAAGGGUGUAGAUAUUGAUUCCCGUAGGCAAAUCCGCGGGGAGAGUCGAACCUGACAGUAUACCGAGUACUUGUACGAGGUAAUAUGGACGUAACCAUGCUCCCAAGAAAAUCCGCUAAACUUAUCCAUGCGGCACCCGUACCGUAAACGGACACACGUGGUCGGGUUGAGAAUACUGAGGCGCUCGAGUGACUCACGGUUAAGGAACUAGGCAAAUUGACCCUGUAACUUCGGGAUAAAGGGUCCUCGUCGUAAGGCGAGGCGCAGAGAAUAGGUCCAGGCAACUGUUUAACAAAAACACAUGGCUGUGCUAAAUGGAAACAUGACGUAUACAGCCUGACACCUGCCCGGUGCUGGAAGGUUAAGAGGAGAUGUCAUCGCAAGAGAAGCAUUGAAUUGAAGCCCCAGUAAACGGCGGCCGUAACUAUAACGGUCCUAAGGUAGCGAAAUUCCUUGUCGGGUAAGUUCCGACCUGCACGAAUGGUGUAAUGAUCUGGACACUGUCUCAACCGUGAGCUCAGUGAAAUUGUAGUAUCGGUGAAGAUGCCGAUUACCCGCGAUGGGACGAAAAGACCCCGUGAACCUUUACUAUAGCUUUACAUUGAAUUUGGGCAGACGAUGUGUAGGAUAGGCCGGAGGCUUUGAAGGGGGUACGCCAGUAUCCUUGGAGCCGCCGUUGAAAUACGGCCCUUCGGUUGUUUGAGUUCUAACUCCUAGGCAGGAGGACACUGUAUGGUGGGUAGUUUGACUGGGGUGGUCGCCUCCAAAAGCGUAACGGAGGCUUCUAAAGGUACCCUCAGACCGAUUGGUAACCGGUCGGAGAGUGUAAUGGCACAAGGGUGCUUGACUGAGAGACCCACAAGUCGAUCAGGUAGGAAACUAGAGCAUAGUGAUCCGGUGGUUCCGCAUGGAAGGGCCAUCGCUCAAAGGAUAAAAGGUACUCCGGGGAUAACAGGCUGAUCCCUCCCAAGAGCUCAUAUCGACGGAGUGGUUUGGCACCUCGAUGUCGGCUCGUCACAUCCUGGGGCUGGAGAAGGUCCCAAGGGUUGGGCUGUUCGCCCAUUAAAGUGGCACGCGAGCUGGGUUCAGAACGUCGUGAGACAGUUCGGUCUCUAUCUAUCGUGGGCGCAGGAGAUUUGAGGGGCUCUGACACUAGUACGAGAGGACCGUGUUGGACGUACCACUGGUUUACCGGUUGUCCCGCCAGGGGCACCGCCGGGUAUCUAAGUACGGAUCGGAUAAGUGCUGAAAGCAUCUAAGUACGAAGCCGGCCUCAAGAUUAGAUCUCCCUGAAGGGUGGUUAUAGACGAUGACCUUGAUAGGCCACAGGUGUAAGGGCGGCGACGUCCGAGCCGAGUGGUACUAAUAGCCCGGGACUUUCCU